CUGACCUUAGCUCAGUUGGUAGAGUGGUGGACUGUAGUUGGACUAAUCUAAAUUGGAAAUCCUUAGGUCGCUGGUUUGAAUUCCGGCAGGUUGGA
rnacentral:tRNA from 1 species